CUCCUGGUAGCUCAGUUGGUUUGUGCACAACAUAGAGCAUUUGACUGUAGUAGAUAUGCGACCAUCAAAAUGUCCUUAGUUCGAUUCUAAGUCAGGAGA